AUGGAGUAUUACCAAGACGAGGAGUCACAAGCGACACCCUUUACCUUACCAUCUACCUGGGAGCCUCCGUGGAAUUCACUCAGUGAGGAUAUGAAAUAUCUCAUCCUUCAGGACAUCCGAGGAUUGAAUCGCUUCACUCCUCCGCUCAAUAAAAUAGAUCCUCUUACAGCGACAGAUCGAAAAGCCAUCCGGGAGAUCCAGCGGAACCCCAACAUCGUCAUUAAGCCAGCAGACAAGGGCUCCAAGAUAGUAAUAAUGGAUUCACAACAAUAUGCAUUUGAAGCCCAUAGACAACUUAACAACCCCAAAUAUUACAAAGUUAUUAGCAAUAGCAUUCAGGACCGCACGCAAACACGAAUCCGUGAAAUUAUACAAGGGCUUUAUUUCGAUAAAUUCAUUUCGGCCAAACAGAGAGAUUUUCUGUUUGGACCGGAUCCACCGCGGACCAGACAGUUUUAUCUCCUUCCAAAAAUACAUAAAGAUCCAUCCACCUGGACAAUUCCUCAUUUAGUCCCUCCUGGUAGACCUAUCGUGUCUGAUUGCAGCAGUGCCACUUACAACGUAUCUUUAUUUAUAGAUUAUUUCCUGGGCCCUCUCUCAUGCAAACAUCCCAGUUACCUCAAAGACACGAAUCAUUUUCUGGACGUUACUCGUCCCAUGAUAUUACCAAACCAUGCACAGUUAUUUACCAUAGACAUCGAUAGUCUUUAUACAAAUAUCAAUACUGAAAUGGGCCUACAGGCAGUCAAAUCUCUCUUUCAGCGCCAUAAGGAUGAGACAAGACCGGAUGCGGAGAUCCUCCAACUUCUGGAAAUAUGCUUAAAAUGUAAUGAUUUUGAAUUCGAUAGCACACAUUACCUGCAGGUAGAAGGCACAGCAAUGGGACACCGAUACGCCCCUUCGUAUGCUAACAUCUACAUGAGCGAGUGGGAACGAGAAGCUCUACAGAAAACCAGUUUAAAACCCACUUUCUAUCUCCGCUUCUUGGACGAUAUCAUUGGAGCCUGGGAACAUGGAGAGGAGAGUUUUCUUACAUUUAUUCACAUUCUAAAUAAUCAUCACCCUUCUAUUAAGGUUAAAUAUCAAUUACACCCGGACCAAGUUAAUUUUUUAGAUACCACGGUUUUUUUUUGA
rnacentral:lncRNA from 1 species